rnacentral:rRNA from 1 species
GACGAACGCUGGCGGCGUGCCUAAUACAUGCAAGUAGAACGCUGAAGGAGGAGCUUGCUUCUCCGGAUGAGUUGCGAACGGGUGAGUAACGCGUAGGUAACCUGCCUGGUAGCGGGGGAUAACUAUUGGAAACGAUAGCUAAUACCGCAUAACAGUAGAUGUUGCAUGACAUUUGCUUAAAAGGUGCAAUUGCAUCACUACCAGAUGGACCUGCGUUGUAUUAGCUAGUUGGUGAGGUAACGGCUCACCAAGGCGACGAUACAUAGCCGACCUGAGAGGGUGAUCGGCCACACUGGGACUGAGACACGGCCCAGACUCCUACGGGAGGCAGCAGUAGGGAAUCUUCGGCAAUGGACGGAAGUCUGACCGAGCAACGCCGCGUGAGUGAAGAAGGUUUUCGGAUCGUAAAGCUCUGUUGUAAGAGAAGAACGAGUGUGAGAGUGGAAAGUACACACUGUGACGGUAUCUUACCAGAAAGGGACGGCUAACUACGUG